CCGCUAUUUUAGAUUAAGCUAGACAAUCUUUAGCGAAACUGGCGAGGCGCUAGCUAGGGCCUCGUUUUUGUUUUUACUACUCUCUUAAAAUGAACUAGUGAAAUUCCACUGAUUCAACCAGUGAAAUUCAUUGGUUCAACCAGUGACUAAAAGCGAAAGUUGAAUCAGUGAAUGUCUCGCUCACUCGUUUCAACAAGUAAACUAAAAAUAUGUAAGCGCGCGGGUACAGCAGCAUUCUGUACAUGAGCAUAUUCAAGUGUUUUAUUGUGUCAAUAAAGUAUAAAAAUAAAUAACUUUGGAGUAACUUCAAUAGCUUGGAGCUAAUCUCAAUCAUGAAUCACAUUUUAAAAUUAAAUAUUCAGCAAUUAUUGGAUUCUUUAAGGCCAAUUAUUAAGAAUCAACUCGAUGUUUCAAAUUCUUCAGCAAAAAAAGACGCCAACAACAUUUUUAAAAACGCUUCGACGUUCCCAAAUCCAUCUUUACUCCAUAUUAUUGCCGAACCAAUGUUGAAAAUUAUGUUGAAAACUUAAGAAGCAAAGCGACCACUAUUACCCAACCGUUUGUAAUUUUAGUAAGUGGUCAAACGGACACGUUUUUUGUCCGUGUCGAAGGACAAUUAAUUGACUUUUCGUCAAAUUGCAAGCCCGUCAAUGUCUUCUCAAUUUUACAUAAAUUAUUUUAUGCGCUUAAUUUGAAGUAUCCUAUCAGUUUAGAUAAUUUUUGUAAUUUCAUUUAUCAGCAAAUUUAUAAAAUAGCCACAGCCCGUAGUGCUGUCUCUUUUUUCAACAUAAAAUUAAACAAUAUAAAAAGCCCAUUAAAAAUGGAAACAAAUUAAAUUUUUAUAAUUCCUAAUGAAUAUUAUUUAUUUUGACGAGGCAAACAAAUAACAAGGGAGUUAGCUAAGAUCUACUAUGUUAAUACAUCAUAUUAUGGUUUGUUAUCAAUAGUAUUUAAUUGCCAAAUGUAUAUAAGAUUUUAAUGAUUAUUAUUGUAUAUUAAAGUAAUAUAUUUGUUUUCAAAGAUCGCCUGAAGAAGUAGCAAUAAAACCUACGAAACGUU